UUUCGACACACUAUCAUUAACUGAAUCCAUAGGUUAAUGAGGCGAACCGGGGGAACUGAAACAUCUAAGUACCCCGAGGAAAAGAAAUCAACCGAGAUUCCCCCAGUAGCGGCGAGCGAACGGGGAGCAGCCCAGAGCCUGAAUCAGUAUGUGUGUUAGUGGAAGCGUCUGGAAAGGCGCGCGAUACAGGGUGACAGCCCCGUACACAAAAAUGCACAUGCUGUGAGCUCGAUGAGUAGGGCGGGACACGUGGUAUCCUGUCUGAAUAUGGGGGGACCAUCCUCCAAGGCUAAAUACUCCUGACUGACCGAUAGUGAACCAGUACCGUGAGGGAAAGGCGAAAAGAACCCCGGCGAGGGGAGUGAAAAAGAACCUGAAACCGUGUACGUACAAGCAGUGGGAGCACGCUUAGGCGUGUGACUGCGUACCUUUUGUAUAAUGGGUCAGCGACUUAUAUUCUGUAGCAAGGUUAACCGAAUAGGGGAGCCGAAGGGAAACCGAGUCUUAACUGGGCGUUAAGUUGCAGGGUAUAGACCCGAAACCCGGUGAUCUAGCCAUGGGCAGGUUGAAGGUUGGGUAACACUAACUGGAGGACCGAACCGACUAAUGUUGAAAAAUUAGCGGAUGACUUGUGGCUGGGGGUGAAAGGCCAAUCAAACCGGGAGAUAGCUGGUUCUCCCCGAAAGCUAUUUAGGUAGCGCCUCGUGAAUUCAUCUCCGGGGGUAGAGCACUGUUUCGGCAAGGGGGUCAUCCCGACUUACCAACCCGAUGCAAACUGCGAAUACCGGAGAAUGUUAUCACGGGAGACACACGGCGGGUGCUAACGUCCGUCGUGAAGAGGGAAACAACCCAGACCGCCAGCUAAGGUCCCAAAGUCAUGGUUAAGUGGGAAACGAUGUGGGAAGGCCCAGACAGCCAGGAUGUUGGCUUAGAAGCAGCCAUCAUUUAAAGAAAGCGUAAUAGCUCACUGGUCGAGUCGGCCUGCGCGGAAGAUGUAACGGGGCUAAACCAUGCACCGAAGCUGCGGCAGCGACGCUGAUGCGUUGUUGGGUA
rnacentral:rRNA from 1 species